GGGCGCGUAACUCAGUGGUAGAGUGCUUGCCUAAUGUGUGCAAGGAAGGCCCUGAGUUGAAUCCUCAGCUCCA
rnacentral:tRNA from 1 species